GAAAAAUUAUUGUUGUAUCCGCUGCUGUGUAUCUUCUUUCAUUAUUCUUUUGCCAAGCUUUCUCGUUUGUGGGUUUUGUUCAAUUGUUCGUUGCCCUCGAUUGCUUGAAUAAGGAAAGAAAAUACCAAGUGUUGAUGUGGGUUUACAGUGCAGAAAAA